rnacentral:rRNA from 1 species
AACGAACGCUGGCGGCAGGCUUAACACAUGCAAGUCGAGCGCCCCGCGAGGGGAGCGGCAGACGGGUGAGUAACGCGUGGGAACGUACCCUUUGCUACGGAAUAGCUCCGGGAAACUGGAAUUAAUACCGUAUGUGCCCUACGGGGGAAAGAUUUAUCGGCAAAGGAUCGGCCCGCGUUGGAUUAGCUAGUUGGUGGGGUAAUGGCCUACCAAGGCGACGAUCCAUAGCUGGUCUGAGAGGAUGAUCAGCCACAUUGGGACUGAGACACGGCCCAAACUCCUACGGGAGGCAGCAGUGGGGAAUAUUGGACAAUGGGCGCAAGCCUGAUCCAGCCAUGCCGCGUGAGUGAUGAAGGCCUUAGGGUUGUAAAGCUCUUUCACCGGAGAAGAUGAUGACGGUAUCCGGAGAAGAAGCCCCGGCUAACUUCGUGCCAGCAGCCGCCGCAGUAA